rnacentral:misc_RNA from 1 species
GCUGAUUCUUAAAAACAAAAUGGACGCUGGCAGCGGACGUCGGCCUGUUUGUUUUCCGAUUUUAACCCGUGAGAGUGAGACUGAUGUCGAUUGACUUACACCCCAAGCCGAGUAAACUAUAAAUAUAAUUUGUUAUUAAUUCAUACCAGUCAUAAUUUGUUGAUAUUAAUUCUAUAACGCGCAACCCGACUAUUCGUGUAAGUCGGUUCAGAAUUCAGAUGCCGUCGUUUUAAUCAGACCGAUAAAAAAAUACAUAUUCGAUGUGAAAUGACCGAAGUGAGCAAGACGUCGGACGAGAUCCUCAACGAGCUUUUCGAUUCGAUCAACGUCCUGCAGAAAGCUGAAUCGGACACGGACGAUACGACCGCAGAGAAGAGGACGAAGAGGAAGUCGAAGAGGCGUCGCAGAGAAGAAGACAAGGACGGUAAGAAGUCCAAGAGGAGAAAAAAACACAAGCACAAGAAGUCCAAGUCCAAGGAGAAAAAGAGAGACAAAGACAAGAAAAAGCAGAAGAAGGAAAAAGACGAUAAACGGCCUUGUGAUGAGAGCCGAGACCAGUCACCACCCGAUGAAGCCCGGCCUGUCGACGAGAUUCCCCUGCCGCCGGCUGCCAGCCCGAAAAAAGACGACAAAGCGGAACUCGACGCGGCCAAAUUUGAAGACUCGGAAUAUCGUUCUGAAAACCGGGAUCAGAACACUGCCAAAUCGCUCAUCAACUCGACUGAAAAGCCUAAAAUGUCAAUUAAAAUAACUAAUCUGAAAAACAGCAACUUGCUCGAAAUAGCUGAAGAGAGGGCCAAGCUAAUAGCAGAAAAAUCGGAAGAAGGUGAACUUAGUACGAGCGAAGAAGAGUCAUCGGCAAAACAUAAAAAAGUUUCCUCCAGUUUGGCAAGUCUGAAAAGCUCUGGAAGUUCUAGUGCUCAUAGGGAUAGUUUUGGUCAUGAAAACAAUGGAAAAGCAGAAAAAGAUAGACGCCACAGUGAAAAAUCAAAUCACAAAGUCAGAUCGAAAGAGUUGUCCAAAGAAGAGGUGUCUCCUAAAAAAUCAAAAGAUGAAAGUGAAAAGUCGACUGAAAGAGACCCCUCAAAAGACAAAAAAUCAAGUCGAAAGCGUUCCCAUUCCAAGGAGUCGAAAAGGAGUUCUCGCCCGAGGAGAUCCAGGUCCCAUUCUAGAGGUCAUAAGCGUUCGAGGACAAAGAGCAAAACGCCGCCACGGGACAAGAAGCCUGAAGAAGCCAGACCGAAGGAAAAGGACAAGGAGAACCUUUACAAGGUUAAAGAAGAUGAGAAAGAAGGCAGCUCGAAACACAGGUCCAGAUCGAGAGAUCGCAGGUCCAAAUCUCACGAGAGGAAACGCUUCAGAUCGAGGUCAAGGAGCAGGCGGAGGAAAAAAGACGAGAAACACAAAUCCAGGGAUCGAUACCCUCGAAGGUCAAGAUCGCCAAGAAAGAGUUCAAAAUACCGAAGUGACGGGCGAAGUAAUAGUAAGGAUGAAUUUUUUAUCGAUAAAUCCAAACUGUUAGAAAUAGCUAGGAAAAACGCUUUGAAUAUGAUGAAACAAGGUCAGGUCGGCACUGAUUUGAACAAAGUCGCUGCAAUCACAGCUGGUGGGAAAACCGUCGAUGAGCUUACAGAUUUUUGCAAGCUAUUGAGCCAGAAAGAAGCUACAGGGCAGGAGUCUGUUAGUUCGGAAAGCUCGAGCGACAACGAGAAUGAAAGGCCAUUUCACCAUCCUUUUCAGCUGAAAGAAAGACCAAACAAUAUCGUUAUGAAUAUUAGAAAUUGUGCUGCGUUGCCUGUUAAAAGUCAUCAGGAAAAAACAACAGAACACGCACAACAGUUAAGACUGCAGUUCCCCGUUUCGAGCGGGCAACAUCAUAGAAAGACUGAGAGUGAAUGGGUACCAGUUGUUGGCUCGAAAGCCAGCGAAAUGAAAGCGAUAAUGCCCCCGUCACCAAAACCCGAAACGGAACUCUUCCCCCUUUCAAAAGAGCCAGCCGUCGAAAAUCCCACCAUCUCAUUCGCCAACAUCCCUCUGCCGCCGUCCCUCCCACCAGCCGAGGACCAACCCCAAGUCCAGAACAAUUAUGCUCUGGGCGCUGUCAUAUCCGAGAGGCUGGCGGCGAUAAGGAAACAGCAGGAAGUGACCAACGCCCUCUUACCCUAUCAACAAAUAGACUUACUCAAUAAGGUGCAAAUGUGGCCUGGGGCGGAGAAUCAAGCAGGCUUAUUCACAGGGAGCACAGGAGCAAGAGUUUUGUCCCAGGCAGAGCUAGCAUCCGGACAACAAGCUUGGGCGAGAAAGGCGUCUAGAACAGGUUGCUCAAGGAAGUUUAUCAACACGUUUGUGUCCGUUAAUUGACAGGAAUUGAAGGGCUGCCGGCUUGCAAGUGGUUGUCACCAAGGAUCAGCUCAUAUCUGCGCAGCCCGUCUGCGGUGGGAUGGGCAUGUCGCUGUUGCAGAAGAUGGGCUGGAGGCCGGGCGAGGGCUUGGGUAAGAACAACGAAGGUACGCUUGAGCCCCUGAAACUGCAGGUCAAGAUGGACAAACGAGGGCUUGUCUGCGCUGAAGAACUGCCAAAGAAGCAGCGGGUGCUCCAGCCUCCCAUCAAACCUCCAAAUACCAAAAACGGCAACACUGGCAAUGUCAAGUCAAUUGAAG